CAGAGGUGAGAUCGAUUAAGGCAAGUUACCUUUGCUAUCUAUCUAUUAUGAUUGUCCUUUUUCUGCUGAAUGAUCGAUCAUAUUCAUACCAAUUGAUUUUGCCUGCAGCGGCAUGUACCUACAUUGUGACGAAAGCCUUAUGCCAUGGAAUCCGUCGGCAUGGAGCACCUGCAACUUCCUGGGAACAACCAGCACUAGAGAGUUGCACUGCUUUAAUUCGGCGGCUUGGUUGUCGAGUCGGUUGCCCCUCUGUCUUCAUAUUUUCUUUCACAUAUGAUCUCCUCUUCGACCCAAUGAUUCCGGUGUUCAACAUAGUUCUAGUCAACUGAUUCAGGAAAAUAUUGAGAUAUUCAUUAGAGAACUGACAACCUGUCUUUCUUAAUUUCGUGCAGUGGUUGAAAUAUUUUCUAUUGAUCAUGUGUCCAUCUCCUACUGUUAAGUACAUGACCACAAUAAAAAUCAGGGAAUCACAAUGUUCUGUAUGUGUUGCGGCACCAUGGUAAUUCCUCUGUUCAUUGGUGAGACAAAAUAUGCACCAGAUGAAUUUAUUAAGGAACUAAGAUCACCAGUCGCUUUUCCAAGAUCAAGAGUCAUUUAGCUUGAUCCCUAGCAUACUCACUAACUUAAUUUCAGUGUGUUUAUUCAUCUAAUAGUUUCAUUCUUUCAAUGCAGGAUUGUCUUACUUACAUGAGUGUUGAUGCUGGUUGGUGUAAUGGGUAAGUACUAACUUAAUUUUAGUGUAUUUUUUCAUCUAAUAGUUUCAUUUUUCCAAUGAGGAUUGUCUUGCUUACAUGAGCAUUGAUGCUACUUGGUGUGAUGGGCACAAUGGUUUUAUUUUUUAGUUUUGAGAUUUCAAAGAGGGUCACUUAACGAAAGGUUAGCAUUCAUCACUAUAACCCAGUCUUCUGCACACUUGUUGAGUAUCCAUGUAAUUAUGAUUAAUUCUUGGUGUUAAUGGACCCUGUAUAUUUAUAUAGUAAUGCUUGUUUUUUAACUCAAAAAUUCACAGGAGAGUUUCGAAGCUGCUUUCAAGGAAUUCUAUAAACUAAACAAAGUUUCUGCCAAAAUAGGAGGUAGGUCUCUUCUUACAGAUAAUUUGAAGCCGAACGUUUGUAACAUUCAUGCUUAUUUCUUUUACUCCUUUUCUUCAAUUUUUUGGUUUCUUCGUUAUACGACAGGCUUUCCCAAGGAAGUAAGUACUGUGAUGUGCGUGUAUUAUUGUUCUUGAUAUGAUUUCAGGUCUGUCUGCCUUAGGAACCAGAGGAUAAAGCUCAGGAGAUGGUUGCAUAGGCAGUAAAAAAGCUGGUAUUGUGCUUGUAUGAAACUGCACCUUGUAUAUACAUGCUUGUUUUAAAGAUACUGUUAUGCUAAGUGACAAUCAUUUAAUUUCUUCAGAGUAUAAAAUCCAAAUUCUGUGAUCAGUAUAUCCGAAAAAAGGUGGACAUUUCCUGAGCUAUCAUACUGAUUACUGUGGUAUACUAUCGUAAUCUUUGUUUGUAAUUGUGCAUAGGUUGAUAUCUUCUCUGUUUUUCGCAACCAAGUUACUUGUGCAUAUAAAUCAAUGUACAUAUAACCAAACAUAAAACAUACAACCAAACAUCCGUGGAGAUGCGUGGUAUUAGAGCUCGUAAGUAAUGUAACUAUUAUGAUUGUAAACCUAUCUCCUUCCCCAUAUAUGAAGGUUAGAGAAACUAUUUUCUGAUAUUUUAAAGUUAUCUUCAUGUUCACUAUAGGCGCCAGAUGGUUGCAAUAAUCUCCAUUCAGAACAACGUUUGGUGUGUUUGUGCUUUGG
rnacentral:lncRNA from 1 species